rnacentral:rRNA from 1 species
UACGUAGGGACCGAGCGUUGUCCGGAAUCAUUGGGCGUAAAGAGCGUGUAGGCGGCCACUUAAGUCCUGCGUGAAAUCUUGCGGCUCAACCGCAAGCGGUCGUGGGAAACUGGGUGGCUAGAGUGCGGGAGAGGAGAGUGGAAUUCCUGGUGUAGAGGUGAAAUUCGUAGAUAUCGGGAGGAACACCAGUGGCGAAGGCGGCGACCUGGGCCAAUAUUGACGCUGAGGUGGCGAAAAGCGUGGGGAGCAAACAGGG